GACGAACGCUGGCGGCGUGCCUAACACAUGCAAGUCGAACGAGACCUUCGGGUCUAGUGGCGGACGGGUGAGUAACACGUGGGAACGUGCCUUUAGGUUCGGAAUAACUCAGGGAAACUUGUGCUAAUACCGAAUGUGCCCUUCGGGGGAAAGAUUUAUCGCCUUUAGAGCGGCCCGCGUCUGAUUAGCUAGUUGGUGAGGUAAUGGCUCACCAAGGCUACGAUCAGUAGCUGGUCUGAGAGGAUGACCAGCCACACUGGGACUGAGACACGGCCCAGACUCCUACGGGAGGCAGCAGUGGGGAAUCUUGGACAAUGGGGGCAACCCUGAUCCAGCCAUGCCGCGUGAGCGAUGAAGGCCUUAGGGUUGUAAAGCUCUUUCAGCGGGGAAGAUAAUGACGGUACCCGCAGAAGAAGCCCCGGCUAACUCCGUGCCAGCCGCCGCCGUAA
rnacentral:rRNA from 1 species